rnacentral:rRNA from 1 species
UAGGGAAUCUUCCGCAAUGGGCGAAAGCUUGACGGAGCAACGCCGCGUGAGUGAUGAAGGUCUUCGGAUCGUAAAACUAUGUUAUUAGGGAAGAACAAAUGUGUAAGUAACUAUGCACGUCUUGACGGUACCUAAUCAGAAAGCCACGGCUAACUACGUGCCAGCAGCCGCGGUAAUACGUAGGUGGCAAGCGUUAUCCGGAAUUAUUGGGCGUAAAGCGCGCGUAGGCGGUUUUUUAAGUCUGAUGUGAAAGCCCACGGCUCAACCGUGGAGGGUCAUUGGAAACUGGAAAACUUGAGUGCAGAAGAGGAAAGUGGAAUUCCAUGUGUAGCGGUGAAAUGCGCAGAGAUAUGGAGGAACACCAGUGGCGAAGGCGACUUUCUGGUCUGUAACUGACGCUGAUGUGCGAAAGCGUGGGGAUCAAACAGG